rnacentral:tRNA from 1 species
GCCGAAGUGGCGGAAUGGCAGACGCGCACGACUCAAAAUCGUGUGAGGAAACUCAUGAGGGUUCGACUCCCUCCUUCGGCA